GUGGUCGGUGUACAGGUGGUGCAUGGUUGUCGUCAGCUCGUGUCGUGAGAUGUUGGGUUAAGUCCCGCAACGAGCGCAACCCUCGACCUUAGUUGCCAGCAUUCAGUUGGGCACUCUAAGGUGACUGCCGGCUAAAAGUCGGAGGAAGGUGGGGAUGACGUCAAAUCAUCAUGCCCCUUAUGACCUGGGCUACACACGUGCUACAAUGGGCGGUACAAAGGGUCGCGAACCCGCGAGGGGGAGCCAAUCCCAAAAAGCCGCUCUCAGUUCGGAUUGCAGGCUGCAACUCGCCUGCAUGAAGCCGGAGUUGCUAGUAACCGCAGGUCAGCAAUACUGCGGUGAAUACGUUCCCGGGUCUU
rnacentral:rRNA from 1 species